UACGUAGGGUGCAAGCGUUAAUCGGAAUUACUGGGCGUAAAGCGUGCGCAGGCGGUUAUGUAAGACAGGUGUGAAAUCCCCGGGCUUAACCUGGGAACUGCAUUUGUGACUGCAUCGCUGGAGUGCGGCAGAGGGGGAUGGAAUUCCGCGUGUAGCAGUGAAAUGCGUAGAUAUGCGGAGGAACACCGAUGGCGAAGGCAAUCCCCUGGACCUGUACUGACGCUCAUGCACGAAAGCGUGGGGAGCAAACAGG
rnacentral:rRNA from 1 species